rnacentral:rRNA from 1 species
UACAUGUGGGGCAAGCGUUGUUCGGAAUUACUGGGCAUAAAGGGUGCGUAGGUGGUUUGUUAAGUCGGGGGUGAAAUCCUGGAGCUCAACUCCAGAACUGCCUUUGAUACUGGAAGCUUGAGUUCGGGAGAGGUGAGUGGAACUGCGAGUGUAGAGGUGAAAUUCGUAGAUAUUCGCAAGAACACCAGUGGCGAAGGCGGCUCACUGGCCCGAUACUGACGCUGAGGUGCGAAAGCGUGGGGAGCAAACAGG